rnacentral:rRNA from 1 species
CAGCCAUUCCGCGAUGCAGGAUGAAGGCCCUCGGGUUGUAAACUGCUUUUGUACGGAACGAAAAGGCCUUGGUUAAUACCUGGGGCUGAUGACGGUACCGUAAGAAUAAGCACCGGCUAACUACGUGCCAGCAGCCGCGGUAAUACGUAGGGUGCAAGCGUUAAUCGGAAUUACUGGGCGUAAAGCGUGCGCAGGCGGUGAUGUAAGACGGAUGUGAAAUCCCCGGGCUCAACCUGGGAACUGCAUUUGUGACUGCAUCGCUGGAGUGCGGCAGAGGGGGAUGGAAUUCCGCGUGUAGCAGUGAAAUGCGUAGAUAUGCGGAGGAACACCGAUGGCGAAGGCAAUCCCCUGGGCCUGCACUGACGCUCAUGCACGAAAGCGUGGGGAGCAAACAGGAUUAGAUACCCUGGUAGUCCACGCCCUAAACGAUGUCAACUGGUUGUUGGUCCUUUACUGGAUCAGUAACGAAGCUAACGCGUGAAGUUGACCGCCUGGGGAGUACGGCCGCAAGGUUG